CUACGGGAGGCAGCAGUGGGGAAUUGUUCGCAAUGGGCGCAAGCCUGACGACGCAACGCCGCGUGAGGGAUGACGGCCUUCGGGUUGUAAACCUCUUUCACCAGGGACGAAGCGCAAGUGACGGUGCCUGGAGAAGAAGCACAGGCCAACUACGUGCCAGCAGCCGCGGUAAUACGUAGGGUGCGAGCGUUGUCCGGAAUUACUGGGCGUAAAGAGCUCGUAGGCGGUUUGUCGCGUCGUCUGUGAAAUUCUGCAACUCAAUUGUAGGCGUGCAGGCGAUACGGGCAGACUUGAGUACUACAGGGGAGACUGGAAUUCCUGGUGUAGCGGUGAAAUGCGCAGAUAUCAGGAGGAACACCGGUGGCGAAGGCGGGUCUCUGGGUAGUAACUGACGCUGAGGAGCGAAAGCGUGGGUAGCGAACAGGAUUAGAUACCCGAGUAGUCC
rnacentral:rRNA from 1 species